UACGAGGGGGGCGAGCGUUGUUCGGAAUUAUUGGGCGUAAAGGGCGCGUAGGCGGUCGGAUAAGUCUUGUGUGAAAUCUUCGGGCUCAACUCGAAGUCUGCACAGGAAACUAUCUGGCUUGAGUGUGGGAGAGGUGAGUGGAAUUCCUGGUGUAGCGGUGAAAUGCGUAGAUAUCAGGAGGAACACCUGUGGCGAAAGCGGCUCACUGGACCACGACUGACGCUGAGGCGCGAAAGCUAGGGGAGCAAACAGG
rnacentral:rRNA from 1 species